rnacentral:rRNA from 1 species
AGAGUUUGAUCCUGGCUCAGAUUGAACGCUGGCGGCAUGCCUUACACAUGCAAGUCGAACGGAUUGAGGGGCUUGCUCCUCAGUUAGUGGCGAACGGGUGAGUAAUGCAUCGGAACGUACCCAGUCGUGGGGGAUAACUACUCGAAAGAGUAGCUAAUACCGCAUACGUCCUGAGGGAGAAAGCGGGGGACUCGCAAGAGCCUCGCGCGAUUGGAGCGGCCGAUGUCAGAUUAGCUAGUUGGUAGGGUAAAAGCCUACCAAGGCGACGAUCUGUAGCUGGUCUGAGAGGACGACCAGCCACACUGGGACUGAGACACGGCCCAGACUCCUACGGGAGGCAGCAGUGGGGAAUUUUGGACAAUGGGCGAAAGCCUGAUCCAGCCAUGCCGCGUGAGUGAAGAAGGCCUUCGGGUUGUAAAGCUCUUUCGGACAGAAAGAAAUCGCACGGGCUAAUACCCAGUGUGGAUGACGGUACUGUAAGAAGAAGCACCGGCUAACUACGUGCCAGCAGCCGCGGUAAUCAAUCGC